AAUGCCAUUAGUGGUUCAUUAAGGGCAUCUCUUCACAGGAGUACCGGUUCAUCGCCGUAUUUCCUGGCAUUUGGGCAGAAUAUGAUUCUUAACGGCAAGGAUUACAGCCUUCUACGUAGUUUGAACCUGUUAGCAGAUGACACUAGGCUACAAAAGCCAGAUGUUUUGCAGCUGCAGAGAUGGAAAGCUAAGCUGAACAUAAACAAGUCUCAUGAAGAAAAUGCAAAUAGAUACAAUCUGCGAGCCAGGGAAAUACAGUUUAAAGCUGGCGACCUAGUUUACGCUAGAAAUUUUACUCAAAGCAACGCCAUAAAGAAAUUUAGCAGUAAACUAGCUCCCGUGUUUAUCCCAGCCAAAGUUUUUAGGAAACGUAGUCCAUAUUACUAUGAAUUAGUGGAUGAAAAAGGGAAGAAUUUAGGCGUAUUUCACUUAAAAGAUAUACAGAACAGGAAAAUUUCAGAUAAUGCUUCCAAGAAAUAAUCUUGUCUCCAUUAUCUGUGGGUGUAGUGGCCAGUUGAGCUUUUACGAUAAAGAACUAUUCACCCCACCCUCGCAUAGAUAAAUGUAACUUCACAGGUCCGAAGGCCUAGCUUACUCUCUACCAAUAUCAAUGCAAAUAAGCGAGAUAAGCACCAGUCACGCUUGCAAAAAUCGUACGAUUCAACCGUUGAUCAGAACUGCAGUUGAAAGCUUUUCAAGAGCGGCUUAUCUACACUUCGUUUUCAACCUUGCAUUCAAUACCUGAUCUGCGCUCUUGGUGGAAAGUUCUAUUGUUCAAUUUUUGGCUUAGGCCUAAUUAAUAAACCUCGUGUUACCCUUAUCUUAUAUAAUCUCGAUCUGUGGUGUAUUAAUAUAACCAGGAGGUUAUUAAUAAUAACUAGUGAAUUUGUGAUAGUGAGUGAAAGGGAUCCGCAUAAGAAGGCGAGGCGUCAGACGUAUAUCAGUAGAUCCCGUUGAGGGAGUCUGCUCCUACAUUAGGCCGGAUACAGUCUGAUCGCCCUACGCCUGCUCAACAAGAUUGCAUCAGUUCCAACUUGCCCAAAUUCUUGAUGAAAGUGGCCCAGAGGAAAACAUAACCUCCGGUGGCGAGAUUACGCAACCGCCACGUAGGUUGACAUUUGGACAUCGGCCGUUCAACGCAAGAUCAUUAUUAUUCAACGCGGAGUACCUACCCAUCGACACUCAGGAUCGCUUUACUACGAAGGUGCAGAAGGUGUAGCCACAUCUGGCCUAUACCCCUGGCCCUAGCACCAGCCCAGCAACAACUCGGAUCGUGCCACUGUAAGGAGCUGCCAAGACGACCAUAAGUCGGCCAACGGCUGAGGACAACGUCCAGCCCGUCCAGCGAUCUAUGUCCGGCUAUUAGGAGUCUCUAUUUUGUAUCCAUUUAAUUUGUCUUUGACAACUUGCUAAUUGGCAUGAGUGCGGUAUUUGUAUAGGUCAUUUAAAGUAGAUUUUAUUAAAUAUUUUGACCAACAGCUCAUCAACGGACAUGUGAACUUGGGCCCAACUUUACAACUCGUAUCAUGGAGCAGAAAUAAAAAGGUCGUGAGUACUAAUUAAAACGAAUAUCUAUUUUAAAACCUAUAAUUGCCGCCCUAUUGUCAUUAAAUGCAUUAUUAAAUUCAUAGCUUAAAUUCAUAAACAUAUAAAUGAAAGAUUGAUCGUUCUUACUUAAUUAAUUGUGAAAUGAAAUUUUAUUGAAUAUGAAAUGCAACUUUAAUUCUUAUGUUAGGAAAUUCUUAAAUUGUUAUAUAUAUGAAUCAAUGGAACAUAGAGUAGAUAAAUAUGAUUAUAAAUGAAAUAUAGGAUUUAAUUAAAAUAAUGAAGUUUGAAUAAAUAAUAAUAAUGGUCUGUCGAG